GUAGAAAAAUAUAUAGAGAAAUCUCAACAGACUUCACAGUCCACAGUCAGUUACAGCAGGUCUCUCUAAUCCGGAAUGGCCCAGAUCAUCACAAUCUUUAUCUUCUAAUUCACACUCCCCACAUUUUCUCCACUUACCUGAAUUUUCGCACUGUGUUGUGCUUUUCCGGCGGUUCUUGGCGGCGAGCGGUGGAGAGAGAAAUGAGCAUUUGGGGUGACGACGACGAUGUCAUUGUCAGCCAACCCCAACUCCGGUCCCAGUCCCAAUUCCAAAGACCAAAUCAAUCACCGAUCACCGAAGAGCCGUCGAUGGCGGCAGAGCCAGGUGGCGACGGCUGUUUUCGCCAUCGCGGCGCUCUUGAUCUCCACCGCCGCGUGGCUCUCUCUAGUCUUCUCUGGCGGCAGCCAUCCGUCGCUCCCCGUCGCGCGCUUGCAGAACAAGGCGCCUCCUCCGUCUUUCGCUCGGCUUCGAAACGACACCGUUGCGGUUUUCGAAGACGACGAGCCGGACUGGUGGAGCAGCAGCGACGAGGAGCUGUCGCUGGACGACGUCGUUUUCGGGAUCGCCGGGUCGUCGGGGCUCUGGAAGCAGCGGAAGGAGUACGUCAGGCUGUGGUGGCGACCGGACGACAUGCGCGGCCACGUCUGGAUGGAGGAGAGAGUUCCUGCGUCACAAAACGACGAGUCGUUGCCUCCGAUCAUGGUCUCCGAGGACAUCUCCAGGUUCCGGUACACCAACCCGACGGGCCACCCCUCGGGGCUCCGAAUCUCCCGCAUAAUCUCCGAGUGCUUCCGCCUCCACCUCCCCCGAGUCCGGUGGUUCGUGCUCGCGGACGACGACACCAUCAUCAACGCCGAUAACCUCGUGGUGGUUCUGAGCAAAUACGACGCGUCGGAGAUGGUUUAUGUGGGGAGCCCGUCGGAGAGUCACUCGGCCAAUACUUACUUUAGUCAUUCCAUGGCUUUCGGCGGUGGAGGUAUUGCGAUCAGCUAUCCUCUGGCGAAAGCUCUCUCUGAAAUUCAAGAUGAGUGUCUCGAAAGGUAUCCGAAGCUUUACGGCAGUGAUGAUCGACUCCAUGCCUGCAUUACUGAGCUCGGAGUUCCCUUAACCAGAGAGCCUGGCUUCCAUCAGUGUGAUAUUAGAGGUAACGCGCAUGGUCUACUAUCGUCUCAUCCGAUAGCACCGUUUGUGUCGAUUCACCAUGUUGAAGCUGUGGAUCCUAUCUAUCCCGGAUUAAGCUCUUUACAGAGUUUGAGGCUCUUUACGCAGGCUAUGAGACUCCAACCCCGCAGCUUUUUGCAGCGGUCCAUGUGUUAUGAUCACCGACACCGUCUCACAUAUUCAGUUUCUCUUGGUUAUGUUGUUGAAGUUUUCCCACAAAUUGUGCUUCCUCGUGACCUUGAGCGGUCAGAGAAGACUUACUCUGCUUGGAAUGGAAUCAGUAAGGGGAUUGAAUUUGAUUUGGAUACAAAAGAUGCGUACAGGUCUGUUUGUAAGAAACCUAUCCUGUUCUUCUUGAAAGAUAUCAGGUCACAGGGUAAUGCUACCUUGGGCUCAUAUAUGAGGAGUAAGGCAAAAGAUGAUUUUAAAAGAACUGUUCUCUGCUUUCCCCGAUCCCGGCAUUUGCGCCAUUUACAAGAAAUUCAGGUUUUGGGCCAUCCUCUCACCAAGAAAUGGCAUUUGGUACCACGCCGGCUAUGUUGCAAACUGAACCAAAACAGUGAUGAAGUCCUUAGAUUAACAGUUGGACAAUGUACUAAGGGACCUUCUGGUUCUAGAACUGAUCUUAGAUGGUAAUGCUUAUUAAUUGUUAACAUUGAUGAUCUGGUAGAAGGUCUGCGGCUUUUAUCUGUGGCCCCAGUGAAUGGUUUUGAUUGCUGAGUUGCUGUUAUCCAUUCAGCUGAUGUCGGCCAAAUUCUGGAAACUUGUGCUUGCAUUUACGAAGGGCCUUUAUUCUACACAAAAACACCAAAGACAAGCACUCGAACCAUGAUGGCAUUCUUUCCCUUCAUUUUUGAUCCAAAGCAGCCUCAUAAGUUAGAGUGCGAAGGAAUUGUGUGAGGAAAAUCAGAAUUAGUGGUCUAGCAGUUUUGGCGAGAAAUUCAAAUGGCGCGUUAAUUGGUGGUUUAACGUCUCAUUCUAUGGCUUCUUCAGCAAUUGCGGUGGAAGCUAAAGCUAUUGAGCUUGGAUUAUCUUUAGCCAAUUCUCUUUCUAUCUCUUCCUUUGUGCUGGAAUCAGACUGUCUUGUUCUUAUUUCAGCCUUUUUAAAUCCACUCUCGCUGGUGGAUUGGUCAGCUGGUUCUAUUGUGACUUCCAUAAGAUCUCAGAUGACUUCUUUUGAGUGAAUAUUCUGGCGUUGGGCCAGCAGAAAAGCUAAUGCUGCAGCUGAUCUGGUUGCUUCGUUGGCUUUGAAGAACGAGUGCCCUGUGGACUGGGUUUCUAAUCCUCCAACCUCCCUC